rnacentral:lncRNA from 1 species
AAGCCGCUCCCAGGAGAGAAGUCGGGGUGCCUGCCUGCUCCCCAGGGAGAACCAGGAGCCUGCGGAGCUGGCGUUGGCCCUUUGGUUUCUGCAAUCGGAGGUGGUGAGCCUAGAAUUCCCCUCCACCAGGGCCACACACCACGGAGAUGGGACAAAUCCCAGAAGCAGAUUAGACUGGUGUUGCUGUUGGGGCAUGCGGACGAGGCAAGCAAACUGUGACCCACAUGCACUCUCCUUGUUUAUCAAAUAGAAUGCGUGCCCUGCUUGGAGGAAGGAGUUCAUUCAUUCAUUCAUUCAUUCAGCAGACUGCAAACUUGGGUGCAGACGGGGCCAGGCGCUGGGGAUCCGAAGAUCCAGGUGUGCGUCAUGUAAGGGGCCAGACAGGGAAAGGUGUGCCUGCUGUUGUCCAACUAGGUGGCUCAGGUGGCAGUCCUGGAAGGCUCCGGAGAGGAGCUUCCUGCCAACGCACACCCUGGGAGGCAACAGCUAUGGCUCAAAUGAUUUGUUUCCUGCCGCCCAGAAUUCAGGAUGGAAGCGGAAGCCCCACCUGUAGCCUCACGUCUGUCCGCGUUCCUGGAGGGAGAGAGUGUGGCGUCCGGGGACAGCAGCGCCAGCCCGAGCCUGGAGCGCGCCGGCCCAUCUGGUUUUAUUUCACUCCGUGUUAUUCAUCAGGAUGUGUUAGCCGGGAGGUAUUUGAUGUUCAGGAAGAAUUCUGGAGCUUUUGAAGAAGUAAAUAAAAUCUUUUAUCCCCUAAAGAGUCGUGAAAUU